CGGCUGCAAAUACAGAUUAACCAGAUGCAAAUGAUGAGAAAGAUCACCUAUUAUCUUGUUGUAAUUGUAUAGAUUAGAAUUAGAUUACUUCAUGUUCUCUAUGAAAGGAAGGUGUGUAUGUAGUGUCAACAUAUGCAGAGGGAGUGUAAAGAAAAUUUCUACAGAGAGAGAGUGUGUGUAUGCUGUAGCAGCUCAUUUGUAAUCUCCCAAAUUUUAUGAGUAAAAUUUCAUAUUUCUCCUAUCUAUUUCCUUCUACACCCAACAUUUUCUCUUCAAUCUCUUCAAAUCAUCUGUUCCCAGGCAAAUUUCUUCGAAACUAUGUUCUUCAAAUUACUUAUCAUUGCUCAUGCAUUUUUAUAGAUCUGUGAAAUCGGUUGAGAAGCCUUCACCUGUUAAUUCUCCAAUCGAUCAGCAGCAUCAUAUGACAAUGGGUCAGGCUUCAAUUUUCUCCAGUUAAUUCUCCAAUCGAUCCAAUUUUUCCCUAUAUCGUCCACUAGUGGAGGCUGCCCAUCCAACAGUUUAUGUUUGUACUUCCUUUUUAAUUCUAUUGAAUGCCAAUUGUUCUUGACAUUUACCGUGUGUUGAGUUCUAUUCGGGAACAACGAUUGCGCUGCUUGCCCCACAAACUGUGCUAGUAGCCGCUCUGUGAGAGAUGAUCCAAAUUAUGAUGCUUCAUUGCUGCUCUAUAUACAGACAUUGUGAGGAAAAGGUAUUAUUGGAGCAACAGUGUCCCUUCUUCUAGGCAAUAUUUUAUUCAAUUUGGUUCAAAUGAAACACUUGUCUUAUCACUAUUUUAGGAAUUUGCUUUCCAUGAAGAGGAGAAGACCCCAAUUUGGUGUCUAAAUCAGCUCUGAUUUAUCAGCUUUGCAUGAUUCUUCCAUUAAAAAGAAGAAUAGCUCCGAUUUGUUGUCUAAAACCAAAGAAGGAUAACUCCGAUGUGAUUAGGUAUAGGUUAGGUUUAGGUGGUGGAGAUCGAGGUGGAAGUAGAAGUAGAGGUAGAGGUAGAGGUGGAGGUGAAAGGGGAAGAUAGAAGAGAUUUUUUUCCCCUAAUUUUUAAUUUAGGAUUCGUUUGCACUUUUUUUUCAAAAAAAAUAAAAAUUAAGACUACAAUUGCAAUUAGUUCUUUAUUUUUUUAUUAUUUUAUUUAAAUAAGAGAGUAUAUUCAUCAUUUCAUAACUUUUUAUUGAGAAAUUGGAUAAAAAUGGAUUAGAAUGAUGGUUUCUGCAGUAAAAAGUUGAAAUAGGGAUGGGAAAAAAAAAGUAGAAACGUUUUGCACAUUAAACUCCAUAUAUAGGGAUGUUUUGUGCUAAUAACCCAUAUAGAAUGGUUAUUCGUGUAGAGUCGAAAACCCAAAUCGACGUUCUUCUGUUUGUCCAAAGUUUGGUAGAUGUGGAAUACAACUACUAUAUAAGGUGUUAUGUACAAAUAUUCUAAUAAUUCGAGAAAGUUAGAAUUUGGAAUAAUUCAACUUUCAUGAUAUUAGAGCAAACAGAAAAUUACGAAAAUGAAAUAAUUUAGUUUGAAUAAUAUUAAGCAGUUUAAUGUAUUUUCAUAUUUUGUGUUAUUUUUCUUAUUCAUUUCUUUAUUAAACAAUAUUCCAUUUUGAAAUUUUAAAAUACUUGGCAUGACCUAAGAGUCAUUGGUCAUUAAAUAGUUAAUAGAUACUAAAAUAUCAACUGCACUGCAAUACUGCAUAAUGUUUUUUAUUAAUUUUUUAUCAAUCAAGAAAAAGAAACGCAAACCAUUUCUAAGAAUGAAAAUGACAUUUUAAACACGAAUUAAGGAUUGAAUGAAAAGAAAAAGCUAUCAACAGAAGGAAUAUAUGAAGUUGAGGUAAUAACAUAAAAAUCAUAAUUAUUUGAAAGUAACUUUUAAGUUUAAAUGUACCGUAAGAAUUAUAUUUUCAAACAAAAUAACUUUUUUCCUUAAUAAAUUUUAGGAACACAAUCAAAUUUGUGUGAAAAUAAAGAAUUACUUAAAAUAAAUUUUAAACUAUUUUUUUUUAAAUCUUUGAUUAUAUUGAAAUAAGUGCAACUUUGAUGGCUUUAGUGUUGUCCUUGUCCAAUUGUUCACACGGCGGCCUGAAGAAACGGGCUGUAAUGGGUCAAACCUGCCAUUUUUAGUUGCGAAAAGUUUUUAUUACAAAAAUAAAAAACAUCGCUUUUGCCGGGGAUCGAACCCGGGUCACCCGCGUGACAGGCGGGAAUACUCACCACUAUACUACAACGACCUGGUUGAAUAUUUUCAGAUAUGUUUAUUUAUAUUAUUUUAUAGACAUAAUGAUAUGCACGUAAAUAUGGAUUUUAAUAAAAUAAUCUCUUCAGUUAAAAGACUGAAAUUAUCUAAUAUAACUAAAUUGGGAAGUUAUUGAUUAAUAAUUAAGAAGUUUUGAACAAAAUACAAAAUCAAGCGCAAUGGACACAGGGUGGGCCCGGGUCCAAGACUAAUUAGCAAAGGUCUGGGGUCUCAAUAUUUUAGGGGCCUCAUUCAAAAAAUCAGAUCAUUUAUUUGGUGCACUUUUGGAAUUUCAAUUGCUCUUUAAAGUAAUUAUUCAUUUUUUUCGUAUGUGAUUUUUUUUUUUGAUAUCCAGGUAUCCCAAUUUAUAUCAAACUAAAUCCUGGACCUAUUUUAUUUUAUUUAUUAUUAUUAUUUUGUAUAAAGCAAGAUAUAGUAGUUCAUUAGCUAAAAAAGUAAAGCGAUUGAUUUAAUAUAAAUAUAUUAUGUAUUUAAAUACUCAUAUAUUACUAAGCUUGCAAAAAAUCUUGUUUAAUGAUUUCAUAAUAGUUAGUCCCAUAAAAAACAAUAGUUUGAAUAGUGAUUUUUAAGAGUGUGAGGUUAAAAAUAGAAAAGAAUUUUGGAUUUAUGUACAAAAUAUUUUAUUGUUUGAAUAUAUGGUUAAAAAUAAUUAUGUAGGAAAAAGAGUUGUAAAUAAUGGUUGUCAAACAGGGAUUUUGUCGCCUAGAACCUCAAAAUUCAUAGGAUAUAUGAAUCAUUAUUACAUUAUAAAUCAUACUAUAAUAGGAUCAUGCUACAUUUAUAAACUUUUUUUAACAAAAUCCUUUUCUCACUACUUACAAUAGGAGGUGGAGACUACAAGUCGAUAUUUUUUAAAUUUACGUGGAACCACUUUUUUGUAAGAGUAAGCAACCCAUUUUGUACACAUUUAUUUGUACAUAUAUAUUUAUCCACUAUAAUAAAUGUCACUAUUUACCUUAUGGGAGUCAAUAUUUUUGUCCAUCAUUCUUAUAUAUUUAUCCAAUUCUAAAUCUAUCUCUAUCAAAAAUUUUAAGAAAUAUUAUAUUCAUACAUUUUAUAUUAUAAUAUUGUCCUUAUUAAAUUUAUUUAUCUAAACACUAUAUAUCCACGAUGCUUCUACUCAUCAAUCCCACUUUUAUUAAACAUGAAAAUGCAUAUAAUUACGUCAAUUUGCUUAAUUAAUUUUAUACUAAAUUAAUAUUUAAUAGGGACCAAUUCAGACAUAUGACCAGUUCUCAUCAAGAUCUCAACUUUUUCUUCUUUGCAAUGUAUAGCAGCCUCUUCAUAUGGUUGAACCUUCUUUUAAAGUAGAAUUUUGCUCUUCUAUAUGAAAUCUUAGGUUGCGGUUGGUUUGCCGUUUUCUGGCCAUUUUCCGUUUUCCGUUUUCGAAAAUGCGUUUAAUCCGUCGUUUUUGAAAAUGAAAAUGGAAAACGAAAAUGUAAACCAACUGCUACCUUAACUUUUUGACCCUUAAGUCUGUUCACAUGUGCUUACCACUUAAUUUUUCUAGUUCUUGUUCAAUAUAUGCACACUUUUCACCUGUGACUUCUUUAACUUGAUAUUCAUUCGACUUUUGUUGUGCUUUCUUGAUUGCUCAUGUGAAUUUAGUGAAAGUUGAAAUUUCGUGGUGCCUAAGGUUGUCUAUCGAUAGCUGAGAACCAGCUAUCAGAAUGUUUAUCACUGUACUAGGAGCCAUUGUCAAAAUCUGUUCGGCUUGGACGUGUGGCCUCUACAGAAG
rnacentral:tRNA from 1 species